UCAUAGUGAUCCGGUGGUUCUGAAUGGAAGGGCCAUCGCUCAACGGAUAAAAGGUACUCCGGGGAUAACAGGCUGAUACCGCCCAAGAGUUCAUAUCGACGGCGGUGUUUGGCACCUCGAUGUCGGCUCAUCACAUCCUGGGGCUGAAGUAGGUCCCAAGGGUAUGGCUGUUCGCCAUUUAAAGUGGUACGCGAGCUGGGUUUAGAACGUCGUGAGACAGUUCGGUCCCUAUCUGCCGUGGGCGCUGGAGAAUUGAGGGGGGCUGCUCCUAGUACGAGAGGACCGGAGUGGACGCAUCACUGGUGUUCGGGUUGUCAUGCCAAUGGCACUGCCCGGUAGCUAAAUGCGGAAGAGAUAAGUGCUGAAAGCAUCUAAGCACGAAACUUGCCCCGAGAUGAGUUCUCCCUGACUCCUUGAGAGUCCUGAAGGAACGUUGAAGACGACGACGUUGAUAGGCCGGGUGUGUAAGCGCAGCGAUGCGUUGAGCUAACCGGUACUAAUGAACCGUGAGGCUUAACCUUACAACGCCGAAGCUGUU
rnacentral:rRNA from 1 species